UGUGCACACUGUUAGAGCCCGUCACCAUUGUUGGUGUUUGGGUGUCGGAGGUGUGCUAAAGUAAACCGGCCGGGUUUUCGCUAACACCAUGAGGACUUCCUGUCCCAUGACUGGGGUUUGAUAGUAACCUGAGCCACACUU